UACAGAGGUGGCGAGCGUUGUUCGGAUUUAUUGGGCGUAAAGGGUCCGUAGGCGGUCCGGAAAGUUGGAUGUGAAAUCCUGCAGCUUAACUGCAGAACUGCAUUCAAAACUCCCGGACUCGAGUUUGAGAGGGGUAAAGGGAAUUCCCGGUGUAAGGGUGAAAUCUGCAGAUAUCGGGAAGAACACCAGUCGCGAAGGCGCUUUACUGGCUCACAACUGACGCUGAGGGACGAAAGCUAGGGGAGCAAACGGG
rnacentral:rRNA from 1 species